CUUUAUCUGUAUCCUGUUUCUUACAGUAUUUAUGGCCUCUUGAGUAUAAGCGUGAAAUCGUAAAUGUUACGAUAUUUUAAACAUAUAUAAUCGAACUCCGCUUAGAAUCGUUUUUCGUUUGCAAUGAUUAAUCGUUGCGUUCAGAUUUGCAUUCAAUUCCUCUCUAUAUUCUACCUUCCCAACUUCUUAUCUAAAACAAUGCCCCACCCACUGUGCGAAGAAUGUCCG